rnacentral:rRNA from 1 species
GCGGCGGACGGGUGAGUAACACGUGGGCAACCUGCCUAUAAGACUGGGAUAACUUCGGGAAACCGGAGCUAAUACCGGAUAAUCCCUUUCCUCUCAUGAGGAAAGGCUGAAAGAUGGUUUACGCUAUCACUUAUAGAUGGGCCCGCGGCGCAUUAGCUAGUUGGUGAGGUAACGGCUCACCAAGGCAACGAUGCGUAGCCGACCUGAGAGGGUGAUCGGCCACACUGGGACUGAGACACGGCCCAGACUCCUACGGGAGGCAGCAGUAGGGAAUCUUCCGCAAUGGACGAAAGUCUGACGGAGCAACGCCGCGUGAGUGAAGAAGGUUUUCGGAUCGUAAAACUCUGUUGUCAGGGAAGAACAAGUACGGGAGUAACUGACCGUACCUUGACGGUACCUGGCCAGAAAGCCACGGCUAACUACGUGCCAGCAGCCGCGGUAAUACGUAGGUGGCAAGCGUUGUCCGGAAUUAUUGGGCGUAAAGCGCGCGCAGGCGGCCUUUUAAGUCUGAUGUGAAAGCCCCCGGCUCAACCGGGGAGGGUCAUUGGAAACUGGAAGGCUUGAGUGCAGAAGAGAAGAGCGGAAUUCCACGUGUAGCGGUGAAAUGCGUGGAGAUGUGGAGGAACACCAGUGGCGAAGGCGGCUCUUUGGUC